GACGAACGCUGGCGGCGUGCUUAACACAUGCAAGUCGAGCGGAGCGGCGAACGGGUGAGUAACGCGUGAGUAACUGCCCCCCUCUCUGGGAUAACAGUUGGAAACGGCUGCUAAUACCGGAUAGUGGGGGAUGCCUCGCGUCCUAUCAGCUUUUUGGUUGGGUAGUGGCCUAACAAGGGGACGACGGGUAGCCGGCCUGAGAGGGGGACCGGGCACAUUUGGCUGAGAUACGGGCCAAACUCCUACGGGAGGCAGCGGUGGGGAAUAUUGCACAAUGGGGGAAGCCAUGAUGCAACGACGCCGCGUGCGGGAUGACGGUCUUCGGGUUGUAAACCGCUUUCAGCCAUGACGCGGUAGUGGCAGAAGAAGCACCGGCUAACUACGUGCCAGCCGCCGCGGUAAUAC
rnacentral:rRNA from 1 species